CCUUAAAGAAGCUGCCUUUGCAGUGCUCACACAGAUUGUCUGAUGAAAAUAGAGCAGUAAGUAAUCUCUGCAGGCUUGUAGCUCAGGUGGUUAGAGCGCACCCCUGAUAAGGGUGAGGUCGGUGGUUCAAGUCCACUCAGGCCUACCAAAUUUGCGAAGCAAAUUUGAAGAGGUUGCGAACGAUGGGGCUAUAGCUCAGCUGGGAGAGCGCCUGCUUUGCACGCAGGAGGUCUGCGGUUCGAUCCCGCAUAGCUCCACCAUCUUUACUGCGAACACAAGAAAACUUCAGAGUGAACCUGAAAAGGUGCACUGCGAAGUUUUGCUCUUUAAAAAUCUGGAUCAAGCUGAAAAUUGAAACGACACACAGUUAAUGUGUGUUCGAGUCUCUCAAAUUUUCGCAAUCUGAAGACAUCUUCGGGUUGUGA
rnacentral:misc_RNA from 1 species